GCUUGUUUACUUCAUUACUCUAAGCUCUAAGCAGGGUGUCGGUGGAAGGAUGUUCUUCGACCAUUGGUUUUCGACCGCUACGACCCGGGUUCGAUUCCCGCAUUAGGCA